rnacentral:rRNA from 1 species
AUGUCUACAACACCAGAGAUAUGUCAAGUAGUGUGUUCAGCAGCUGCUGCAGCUCAAGCCGAUGAGCAUUACGAUCCAUCGAAGGAUCCUGCAAGGAAGCCACGUAGGAGCAAGGACCCAGCAUGGAAAUAUUCCUUUUGGCCUGAUCUGCAGGACAAAUUGACACUCCAGUGUGUUUUGUGUGGCAAAAACAUCACUUCUGGAGUGCUAAGGAUGAAGAAGCACCUUGGUGGGGGUUACACAGAGGUGAAAAUGUGUCUAAAAGCAACCGAUGAGAUCAGGAAAGAGAUGCAUUUGUACAUGAAGACCAACUCAACCAAGUUCAAAGCCAUGCAACUUGAUGGGGAUGAAGUUGAAGCAACUGAUGGAGAUGGAGGAGAGGAGGUAGAAGCAAGUUCAAGGGCGUCGAAUAGCACCGCAGCCUCCACGAAAAGGAAGGCUUCUUUUAUUGUGACGGCGCCGGUGGCGGCAAAGAGGACAAGCAAGUCAAUUGCAGAUGAGGUUAGGAAGACACCAGAGGAGGUGGUUGCUGAGAGGCAUAGAGCAGGAAGCAAGCAGUUAAAAAUCAAGCAUUAUGGAACAAAGACAAAAGAACAAAAAGAUGAAGUAGAUGGUCAUGUAGCUGACUUUCUCUAUGAGAAUUGCCUUCCACUCAAUAUUAUCAAUUCGAGAAGUUGGGAGAUCCUAUUGGAGUCUGUAGGAUAG